rnacentral:rRNA from 1 species
GAUGAACGCUGGCGGCGUGCCUAAUACAUGCAAGUCGAGCGAACAGACGAGGAGCUUGCUCCUCUGACGUUAGCGGCGGACGGGUGAGUAACACGUGGAUAACCUACCUAUAAGACUGGGAUAACUUCGGGAAACCGGAGCUAAUACCGGAUAAUAUAUUUAACCGCAUGGUUCAAUAGUGAAAGACGGUUUUGCUGUCACUUAUAGAUGGAUCCGCGCCGCAUUAGCUAGUUGGUAAGGUAACGGCUUACCAAGGCAACGAUGCGUAGCCGACCUGAGAGGGUGAUCGGCCACAUUGGAACUGAGACACGGUCCAGACUCCUACGGGAGGCAGCAGUAGGGAAUCUUCCGCAAUGGGCGAAAGCUUGACGGAGCAACGCCGCGUGAGUGAUGAAGGUCUUCGGAUCGUAAAACUCUGUUAUUAGGGAAGAACAAAUGUGUAAGUAACUAUGCACGUCUUGACGGUACCUAAUCAGAAAGCCACGGCUAACUACGUG